UACGUAGGGUCCGAGCGUUGUCCGGAAUUAUUGGGCGUAAAGAGCUCGUAGGCGGCUCGUUGCGUCGGCUGUGAAAACCCGCAGCUCAACUGUGGGGCUUGCAGCUGAUACGGGCGGGCUGGGAUUCGGGAGGGGCUGGUGGAAUUCCCGGUGUAGUGGUGAAAUGCGUAGAGAUCGGGAGGAACACCCGUGGCGAAGGCGGCUCUCUGGGACGGUACUGACGCUGAGACGCGAAAGCGUGGGGAGCGAACAGG
rnacentral:rRNA from 1 species